rnacentral:rRNA from 1 species
UCGAUACAGGAUGGACCCGCGUAUGAUCAGAUAGAUGGUGAGAUCAGUACUCACUAAGAGGAGGAUCAGUAGCACACUGGAGAGGAGGAUCGGCCACAUCUGAUAUGAGACACAGUACAAACUCAUACUGGACGCAGCAGUGGAGCAUAUUGGACAAAGGGCGAAAGCGUGACCCAGCAACUCCGUCGUGAAGGAAGAAGGUGUUCGGAUUGUAAACUUAUUUUAUCAGUGAUGAAGUAAGAGACGGUACGUGAUGAAUAAACCCCGGCUAAAUACGUGCCAGCAGCCGCGGUAAUAAGUAGGUGGCAAGCGUUAUCCGGAAAUAAUGGGUGUAAAGGGGGAGUAGGCGGGGAUACAAGUCAGAUGUGAAAUCUAUGGGCUCAACCCAUAAACGUGCAUUGGAAACUGUAUGUCUUGAGUGUAGGAGAGGAAGAGCGGAAUUCCUAGUGUAGCGGUGAAAUGCGUAGAUAUUAGGAGGAACACCAGUGGGGAAGGCGGUUUACUGGACGAUUACGGACGUUGAGGCUGGAAAGCAUGGGUAGCAAACAGAAUAAGAUACCCUGGUAUUCCAUCCGGUAAACGAUGAUUUUUAGGUGUUGGGGGAUUGACCCCCUCAGUGCCGCAGUUAACACAAUAAGUAAUCCACCUGGGGAGUACGACCGCAAGGUUGAAACUCAAAGGAAUUGACGGGGGCCCGCACAAGCAGUGGAGUAUGUGGUUUAAUUAGAAGCAACGCGAAGAACCUUACCAGCUCUUGACAUCCGAUGCAUAACACAGAGAUGUGUGAAAUCCUUCGGGACAUCGAGACAGGUGGUGCAUGGUUGUCGUCAGCUCGUGUCGUGAGAUGUUGGGUUAAGUCCCGCAACGAGCGCAACCCUUAUUUCCAGUUACUACGUUAAGAGGACUCUGGCGAGACUGCCGUUGACAAAACGGAGGAAGGUGGGGAUGACGUCAAAUCAUCAUGCCCUUUAUGUCUUGGGCUACACACGUACUACAAUGGCGUUAAACAAAGAGAAGCAAGACCGCGAGGUGGAGCAAAACCCAAAAACAACAUCUCAGUUCAGAUUGCAGGCUGCAACUCGCCUGCAUGAAGUCGGAAUUGCUAGUAAUCGCGGAUCAGCAUACCGCGGUGAAUACGUUCCCGGGCCUUGCACACACCGCCCGUCA